rnacentral:rRNA from 1 species
GCCCUUAGAGUUUGAUCCUGGCUCAAGACGAACGCUGGCGGCACGCUUAACACAUGCAAGUCGAACGAGAGAAGAGGAGCUUGCUUUUCUGAUCUAGUGGCGGACGGGUGAGUAACACGUGAGCAAUCUGCCUUUCAGAGGGGGAUACCGAUUGGAAACGAUCGUUAAUACCGCAUAAUAUAAUUGAACCGCAUGAUUUGAUUAUCAAAGAUUUAUCGCUGAAAGAUGAGCUCGCGUCUGAUUAGCUAGUUGGUAAGGUAACGGCUUACCAAGGCGACGAUCAGUAGCCGGACCGAGAGGUUGAUCGGCCACAUUGGGACUGAGACACGGCCCAGACUCCUACGGGAGGCAGCAGUGGGGAAUAUUGCACAAUGGAGGAAACUCUGAUGCAGCGAUGCCGCGUGAGGGAAGAAGGUUUUAGGAUUGUAAACCUCUGUCUUCAGGGACGAAAAAAGACGGUACCUGAGGAGGAAGCUCCGGCUAACUACGUGCCAGCAGCCGCGGUAAUACGUAGGGAGCGAGCGUUGUCCGGAAUUACUGGGUGUAAAGGGAGCGUAGGCGGGAUCGCAAGUCAGAUGUGAAAACUAUGGGCUUAACCCAUAAACUGCAUUUGAAACUGUGGUUCUUGAGUGAAGUAGAGGUAAGCGGAAUUCCUAGUGUAGCGGUGAAAUGCGUAGAUAUUAGGAGGAACAUCAGUGGCGAAGGCGGCUUACUGGGCUUUAACUGACGCUGAGGCUCGAAAGCGUGGGGAGCAAACAGGAUUAGAUACCCUGGUAGUCCACGCCGUAAACGAUGAUUACUAGGUGUGGGGGGACUGACCCCUUCCGUGCCGCAGCAAACGCAAUAAGUAAUCCACCUGGGGAGUACGACCGCAAGGUUGAGACUCAAAGGAAUUGACGGGGGCCCGCACAAGCAGUGGAGUAUGUGGAUUAAUUCGAAGCAACGCGAAGAACCUUACCAGGUCUUGACAUCGUAUGCAUAGCUCAGAGAUGAGUGAAAUCUCUUCGGAGACAUAUAGACAGGUGGUGCAUGGUUGUCGUCAGCUCGUGUCGUGAGAUGUUGGGUUAAGUCCCGCAACGAGCGCAACCCUUACUGUUAGUUGCUACGCAGGAGCACUCUAGCAGGACUGCCGUUGACAAAACGGAGGAAGGUGGGGAUGACGUCAAAUCAUCAUGCCCCUUAUGACCUGGGCCUCACACGUACUACAAUGGCUGUCAACAGAGGGAAGCAAAGCCGCGAGGUGGAGCGAACCCCUAAAAGCAGUCUUAGUUCGGAUUGUAGGCUGCAACCCGCCUACAUGAAGUCGGAAUUGCUAGUAAUCGCAGAUCAGCAUGCUACGGUGAAUACGUUCCCGGGCCUUGCACA